AGAACGAACGCUGGCGGCAGGCUUAACACAUGCAAGUCGAACGCCCCGCAAGGGGAGUGGCAGACGGGUGAGUAACGCGUGGGAAUCUACCCAGUUCUACGGAAUAACACAGGGAAACUUGUGCUAAUACCGUAUACGCCCUACGGGGGAAAGAUUUAUCGGGAUUGGAUGAGCCCGCGUUGGAUUAGCUAGUUGGUGGGGUAAUGGCCUACCAAGGCGACGAUCCAUAGCUGGUCUGAGAGGAUGAUCAGCCACACUGGGACUGAGACACGGCCCAGACUCCUACGGGAGGCAGCAGUGGGGAAUAUUGGACAAUGGCGCAAGCCUGAUCCAGCCAUGCCGCGUGAGUGAUGAAGGCCUUAGGGUUGUAAAGCUCUUUCAGUGGGGAAGAUAAUGACGGUACCCACAGAAGAAGCCCGGCUAACUCGUGCCAGCAGCCGC
rnacentral:rRNA from 1 species